CCUACGGGAGGCAGCAGUGAGGAAUAUUGGACAAUGGGCGCAAGCCUGAUCCAGCCAUGCCGCGUGCAGGAAGAAGCAUCUAUGGUGUGUAAACUGCUUUUGUACAGGAAGAAACACUCCCUCGUGAGGGAGCUUGACGGUACUGUAAGAAUAAGGACCGGCUAACUCCGUGCCAGCAGCCGCGGUAAUACGGAGGGUCCGAGCGUUAUCCGGAAUCAUUGGGUUUAAAGGGUCCGUAGGCGGUUUAAUAAGUCAGUGGUGAAAUCUGGUCGCUCAACGAUCAAACGGCCAUUGAUACUGUUAGACUUGAAUUAUAAGGAAGUAACUAGAAUAUGUAGUGUAGCGGUGAAAUGCUUAGAUAUUACAUGGAAUACCAAUUGCGAAGGCAGGUUACUACUUAUGGAUUGACGCUGAUGGACGAAAGCGUGGGGAGCGAACAGGAUUAGAUACCCUGGUAGUCCACGCCGUAAACGAUGGAUACUAGCUGUUCGGAGCAAUCUGAGUGNGUAGAGAAGUAGAUAAGUAUACCACCGUCGGGUAGGUACGUUCGUCGAGAAGUAGUAACGUACGAAGUAGUAAGUUAGUACGGACGUGAGACGUACGACCGACGGACGACGACGAGGGAGGAGG
rnacentral:rRNA from 1 species